UACGUAGGGGGCAAGCGUUGUCCGGAAUCAUUGGGCGUAAAGAGCGUGUAGGUGGCCCGAUAAGUCUGCCGUGAAAGUCCAAGGCUCAACCUUGGGAUGCCGGUGGAUACUGUCGGGCUGGAGUCCGGAAGAGGCGAGUGGAAUUCCUGGUGUAGCGGUGAAAUGCGCAGAUAUCAGGAGGAACACCAAUGGCGAAGGCAGCUCGCUGGGACGGUACUGACACUGAGACGCGAAAGCGUGGGGAGCAAACAGGAUUAGAUACCCUGGUAGUCCACGCUGUAAACGAUGGGCACUAGGUGUGGGGGGUGUCGACUCCCUCCGUACCGACGCUAACGCAUUAAGUGCCCCGCCUGGGGAGUACGGCCGCAAGGCUA
rnacentral:rRNA from 1 species